rnacentral:rRNA from 1 species
UAACAAGGUUUCCGUAGGUGAACCUGCGGAAGGAUCAUUACGUUCAGUAGCCUAGCUACUGUCAGUGGGGCUCGUUAGUCUGCAUAGCUUAAACGCUGAUGAGCAGCAGGCCCCCUGUCUUCACCCUUGUUUUUUGCGUACCCAUGUUUCCUCGGUGGGCUUGCCCGCCGGCUGGACAAAACUAUAACCUAUUUAAUUUUCAAUCAGCGUCUGAAAUAAUUUUAAUAAUUACAACUUUCAACAACGGAUCUCUUGGUUCUGGCAUCGAUGAAGAACGCAGCGAAAUGCGAUAAGUAGUGUGAAUUGCAGAAUUCAGUGAAUCAUCGAAUCUUUGAACGCACAUUGCGCCCCUUGGUAUUCCAUGGGGCAUGCCUGUUCGAGCGUCAUUUGUACCCUCAAGCUUUGCUUGGUGUUGGGUGUUUGUCUCUUCCCUUGCGGGGAGACUCGCCUUAAAGUAAUUGGCAGCCAGUGUUUUGGUAGUAAGCGCAGCACAUUUUGCGUCUUGGUCCCUAAAAUAAUGGCAACCAUAAGCUCUUUUUCAC